rnacentral:rRNA from 1 species
UGCAGUCGACGAGAGAAGAUUGGUGCUUGCACUGAUCCGAUCGAGUGGCGGACGAGGUGAGUAACGCGUGGGUAACCUGCCUCAUACAGGGGAAUAACAGUUGGAAACGGCUGCUAAAACCGCAUAAGCGCACGGUAUCGCAUGAUACAGUGUGAAAAACUCCGGUGGUAUGAGAUGGACCCGCGUCUGAUUAGCUAGUUGGUGAGGUAACGGCCCACCAAGGCAACGAUCAGUAGCCGGCCUGAGAGGGUGAACGGCCACAUUGGGACUGAGACACGGCCCAAACUCCUACGGGAGGCAGCAGUGGGGAAUAUUGCACAAUGGGGGAAACCCUGAUGCAGCGACGCCGCGUGAGUGAUGAAGUAUUUCGGUAUGUAAAGCUCUAUCAGCAGGGAAGAUAAUGACGGUACCUGACUAAGAAGCACCGGCUAAAUACGUGCCAGCAGCCGCGGUAAUACGUAUGGUGCAAGCGUUAUCCGGAUUUACUGGGUGUAAAGGGUGCGUAGGUGGUGAGACAAGUCUGAAGUGAAAAUCCGGGGCUUAACCCCGGAACUGCUUUGGAAACUGCCUGACUAGAGUACAGGAGAGGUAAGUGGAAUUCCUAGUGUAGCGGUGAAAUGCGUAGAUAUUA